UACGGAGGGUGCAAGCGUUAUCCGGAUUUACUGGGUUUAAAGGGUGCGUAGGCGGGUAGGUAAGUCAGUGGUGAAAUCUCCGAGCUUAACUCGGAAACUGCCUUUGAUACUAUUUAUCUUGAAUAUUGUGGAGGUAAGCGGAAUAUGUCAUGUAGCGGUGAAAUGCUUAGAUAUGACAUAGAACACCUAUUGCGAAGGCAGCUUACUAUGGUGCAAUUGACGCUGAGGCACGAAAGCGUGGGGAUCAAACAGG
rnacentral:rRNA from 1 species